CUGGGAGAGCCCUGGUGGGUGGAAGGCUGGCUGGAGGUGAGUGGACAGGGCAGGGUCUUGAAUGCUAGGCCAAGGAGCUGGACAUGAAGGUGGACAGAACACUAUCUGAGGAGUCAAGAGGUUUUGGUUAGUCCCUCGAGUUGGUCUCCUGGUCUGCUUUUGAGGUCAGACAGGAGAUGGGAGACCUGGCCGCACACCUAACCUUCAUACCCCUUCAGUCCAUGACCAUACGGGUCUAAGGAGCCAUAGAAAACACCCAAGCAGGGAGGGACCUAUGGAGGGGGAGGCCCAGCUGCCAGGAAUAUUCUCCCAGCUUCUCAACUGCAGGCCAGAGGGCUUCCUAAAUAAGGAUUUAAGAAAAUGUUGGGGGGUGUGGUCCCAGCUCUGUAAUUUUCCCAGCUUGGCUGCUGAUUCCCUGUGCACCUCCUGCUGGGCCUCAGUCUCCACAUCUAUAACAUGGGACCAGUGCCCAUACACUGUGAGGGCAGGCUUCUGAGGCCCCCACUGUCCGCAGCUAGUCUGAGCUCCUUCUGAGGGUCACAAGACCUUGCCUGGUCAACCUUGACAACCCCUCGGCCUCACUUUGGACAUCUUCCUCCUGCUCUAAUCGCACUGAUACCAACAGCUUCCUUCCAGUUUCUCUAACAAGAUAAGCUCUGGUCUCUGGGUCUCCAAAAACACUCCUUCCUUGUCCUGGCCUUCACCUGGUUCAGCUCCAGCCUCAAUAAAUACCACUGCCACCGGGAAGCCUUCUCAAGCCCUCUGGCCAGACAGGCCUUGGCAAUAUGCCUGUAGCCCACGUCCCACGCCAGGGGUCAAGCGCACAACACGGAGGGCAUCAGCUUCGGGCAGCGGCAAACCAGUCCUCUGCCCGGAACAAGGGCUGCCUGUUGUGGCCACUCAGACCCGGGAGCUGCAAAUGUUGCGACUCUUGAACAUGUUUCUGGAACCCGGUGCCUCGGGUACUGCAGGCUGUGCCACUCUGCUGCCUCGGCCGCGUUGCUCCUGCGGCUGGAGGUGCUCACGGUGCGGCCCCAGGAAGCCCGAGGCUGCUGCGGAUCCACUGUCGCUGUGAAGCCUCCCUCACAGCUGUCCCUGCACCAGCACCACUGCCGCCCCCUGGCCACCACUUCCCUUUGUCUUCCCAGGUGGUGAGCUCCACAAGGGCGGGACCUUGUCCGUUCAGCCCACAGCAGUGUGCCCGCAAUACCCAGCACAGCGCCUGGCCUCCGUCCACGCUCAGUUAGUGCUCACGGAACCAAUCACGGAUGAGGGGGAGCCGGGGACCACUCUGGGCGCCAGGGAGCUGCCAUAGCCUUGAGGGUGCACGGCGAGCUCUGAGCUCUGCAUGGCUGUGACCCACCGUCUUUACUUGGCACUCCUGGUUUUUUGGGCCAGAGUGGGUGGUGAUUCCAAAGUGCAGAUGAGGCAGCUUGGCUGUCAGGCAGGGGUGGCCAGCCCUCAGUCAUCGGCUCCGGUGGUGGCCUGGCAGCUCUCUUCUCUGUCCACUCCAGGCCCAGCCUAACCCAGAGGCUGAGCCGGCAGUGGCCGCCCAGGG